GACGAACGCUGGCGGCGUGCUUAACACAUGCAAGUCGAACGGAAAGGCCCUGCAUUUGUGGGGUGCUCGAGUGGCGAACGGGUGAGUAACACGUGAGUAACCUGCCCUUGACUUUGGGAUAACUUCAGGAAACUGGGGCUAAUACCGGAAAGGAGCUCAUGCUGCAUGGUGGGGGUUGGAAAGUUUCGGCGGUUGGGGAUGGACUCGCGGCUUAUCAGCCUGUUGGUGGGGUAGUGGCUUACCAAGGCUUUGACGGGUAGCCGGCCUGAGAGGGUGACCGGCCACAUGGGGACUGAGAUACGGCCCAGACUCCUACGGGAGGCAGCAGUGGGGAAUGUUGCACAAUGGGCGGAAGCCUGAUGCAGCAACGCCGCGUGCGGGAUGACGGCCUUCGGGUUGUAAGCCGCUUUCGCCUGUGACGAAGCGUGAGUGACGGUAAUGUGUAAAUAAGCACCGGCUAACUACGUG
rnacentral:rRNA from 1 species